rnacentral:sRNA from 1 species
AGCUGUCGAUGACAGCAGCCAAUGUUUCCAGUAUCAGGAUGAUACGAGUGAUCUGCGAGAAACGCCUUCGGGUGGUCACAAACCCAAAGUCAUAAGGAAUAGAGUGUGGUCUGAGACUGACGCUUUCGAGCGACCAUUAAAAAGCUACCGAAACCUGAAAGGAAGCGCUUUAAGAGCGGUAACCCC